GAUGAAGAACGUGGCGAAAUGCGAUACGUAAUGUGAAUUGCAGAAUUCAGUGAAUCAUCGAAUCUUUGAACGCAUAUUGCGCUCUCUGGUAUUCCGGAGAGAAUGCUUGUUUGAGUAUCAGUAAACACCUCAACUUCCAUAUCUUUUUUGAAAUGGGAGUUGGACUUGAGUGAUCCCAACGCUUUUCCUCACCGAAAAGUGGCGGGUUACUUGAAAUGCAGGUGCAGCUGGACUUUUCUCUGAGCUAUAAGCAUAUCUAUUUAGUCUGCCUAAAAAACAGAUUAUUACCUUUGCUGCAGCUAACAUAAAGGAGAUUAGUUCUUGUGCUGACUGAUGCAGGAUUCACAAAGACAGGCUUCGGCCGACUUUGUAAACUCGAUCUCAAAUCAAGUAAGACUACCCGCUGAACUUAAGCAUAUCAAUAAGCGGAGGA
rnacentral:misc_RNA from 1 species